rnacentral:misc_RNA from 1 species
GAUGAAGAACGCAGCAAAAUGCGAUAAGUAAUGUGAAUUGCAGAAUUCAGUGAAUCAUCGAAUCUUUGAACGCACAUUGCGCCCGCCAGUAUUCUGGCGGGCAUGCCUGUUCGAGCGUCAUUUCAACCCUCAAGCACAGCUUGGUGUUGGGACUCGCGUUAAUUCGCGUUCCUCAAAUUGAUUGGCGGUCACGUCGAGCUUCCAUAGCGUAGUAGUAAAACCCUCGUUACUGGUAAUCGUCGCGGCCACGCCGUUAAACCCCAACUUCUGAAUGUUGACCUCGGAUCAGGUAGGAAUACCCGCUGAACUUAAGCAUAUCCAAUAAGCGGAGGA